rnacentral:rRNA from 1 species
UACGGAGGAUGCAAGCGUUAUCCGGAAUGAUUGGGCGUAAAGCGUCCGCAGGUGGCUGUGUAAGUCUGCUGUUAAAGAGUCAUGCUCAACAUGAUAAGAGCAGUGGAAACUACACGGCUAGAGUGCGUUCGGGGCAGAGGGAAUUCCUGGUGUAGCGGUGAAAUGCGUAGAGAUCAGGAAGAACACCGGUGGCGAAAGCGCUCUGCUAGGCCGCAACUGACACUGAGGGACGAAAGCCAGGGGAGCGAAUGGG